rnacentral:rRNA from 1 species
CUGUCUCAAGACUAAGCCAUGCAUGUCUAAGUAUAAACGCUUCUAUACUGUGAAACUGCGAAUGGCUCAUUAAAUCAGUUAUAGUUUAUUUGAUGGUUCCUUACUACUUGGAUAACCGUAGUAAUUCUAGAGCUAAUACAUGCAGAAAGUCCCGACUUCUUGGAAGGGAUGUAUUUAUUAGAUCCAAAACCAGCGCGAGUUUCCUUCGGGGGCUCGGUUGCAUGGUGAUUCAUGAUAACUGCUCGAAUCGCAUGGCCUUGCGCCGGCGAUGAUCCAUUCAAAUUUCUGCCCUAUCAACUUUCGAUGGCAAGGUAGUGGCUUGCCAUGGUGACAACGGGUGACGGAGAAUUAGGGUUCGAUUCCGGAGAGGGAGCCUGAGAAACGGCUACCACAUCCAAGGAAGGCAGCAGGCGCGCAAAUUACCCAAUCCCGACUCGGGGAGGUAGUGACAAUAAAUAACAAUGCUGGGCUAUCGUAGUCUGGCAAUUGGAAUGAGUACAAUCUAAACCCCUUAACGAGGAACAAUUGGAGGGCAAGUCUGGUGCCAGCAGCCGCGGUAAUUCCAGCUCCAAUAGCGUAUAUUAAAGUUGUUGCAGUUAAAAAGCUCGUAGUUGGAUUUCGGGGCAGCCCGGCUGGUCCGUCGCGAGGCGAGUACUGGUCGGCCGCCCUUCCUCUCGAAAGCCCCGACUGCUCUUCACUGCAGUGGUCGGGGAGUUCGGGACGUUUACUUUGAAAAAAUUAGAGUGUUCAAGGCAGGCCAUCGCCUGAAUACAUUAGCAUGGAAUAAUGGAAGAGGACCUCGGUCCUAUUUUGUUGGUUUCUAGGGCCGAAGUAAUGAUUAAGAGGGACAGUUGGGGGCAUUCGUAUUUAAUUGUCAGAGGUGAAAUUCUCGGAUUUAUGAAAGACGAACAACUGCGAAAGCAUUUGCCAAGGAUGUUUCAUUAAUCAAGAACGAAAGUUAGGG